CAAAGAUGCAGAUCACCAGCUGCAGGGUCAGGAAAAGCUCCACGGUCACCGCCUGGCCUGCUGUCGCGUUGUUGUGGAGCUGGAGGGGGACGGUCACCCCGACGCAAUGGGAUGAGCAGGGGAUCAAUCUUCCUGGAGUCCCAUGGUCAAAGAACGUAUAGUCUGUGGCUGUUCAAGGGGGACACUCGAGAUGCGGGUCUGACGUCACAUAGCCUGGACUAUUUCUAGAUGGCACUGUUUACUGCCUCCAUGAUUUGGGCCUGCUGAAUGCCGGGUUAAAACUACAGGAUCGGGAGACCUCAGAACUGAACUUACAACACUGUUCCAAGGAUAAACUAGUAUGUGGCCUGGCAAAGGGCAGAUCCGCAUGGAGGGCAACUUCCUGUGGUCCAAGCUGUCUCUUGGUGUCAUCCUCAGAGAACAUGAGCAGCACGGAUGGCCACUGGUCUCUCACCAGCCUCCAGGUGGCCACUGGUCUCUCACCAGCCUCCAGGUGGCCACUGGUCUCUCACCAGCCUCCAGGUGGCCACUGGUCUCUCACCAGCCUCCAGGUGGCCACUGGUCUCUCACCAGCCUCCAGGUGGCCACUGGUCUCUCAUCAGCCUCCAGGUGGCCACUGGUCUCUCACCAGCCUCA